rnacentral:rRNA from 1 species
GAUGAACGCUAGCUACAGGCUUAACACAUGCAAGUCGAGGGGAAACGACAUCGAAAGCUUGCUUUUGGUGGGCGUCGACCGGCGCACGGGUGAGUAACGCGUAUCCAACCUGCCCACCACUUGGGGAUAACCUUGCGAAAGUAAGACUAAUACCCAAUGAUAUCCCACGAAGGCAUCCGAAUGGGAUUAAAGAUUUAUCGGUGAUGGAUGGGGAUGCGUCUGAUUAGCUUGUUGGCGGGGUAACGGCCCACCAAGGCAACGAUCAGUAGGGGUUCUGAGAGGAAGGUCCCCCCACAUUGGAACUGAGACACGGUCCAAACUCCUACGGGAGGCAGCAGUGAGGAAUAUUGGUCAAUGGGCGAGAGUCUGAACCAGCCAAGUAGCGUGCAGGACGACGGCCCCUAUGGGGUUGUAAACUGCUUUUAUAAGGGAAUAAAAGUGAGCUACGUGUAGCUUUUUGCAUGUACCUUAUGAAUAAGGACCGGCUAAUUCCGUG